GUAUUGAGAAGUACUGACCGAUCCAUUUUAUAUCAGAUUGCUAGUUGUUUAUUUUCAUUGGCAUGGUCCAGUAUAUUUGGGGGGUUUCGCGUGGUGUUUGUUUUUUGGAGAUGGUCAUGGAGUAGGAUACUCGUGUGCUCAUCCCCUGUUUGAUUUUUUGCGGUCAUCAACAGAGCACAUGCUUGGAUCAUUUUGGGUAAAUAUCACGGCCGUGAAUCGCAGGUGAGCUACCCUCAUUGCUGAGAUCAUUUUCGAAAUAUGUUCCACACUAUACUAAGCAACUUAAGCAAUUUUUCUAUUUAACACAGGCAUUAACCUGAUCAUAGACAGGCAAUAAUAUUCUAUUAAUUAGGCAAAGUACCAUUUAUGUGUUGGCUAUAGUACCAUUUAUUUAUGCUGUAGUUGCAUUGUUUCAGUAGCUAGCAGCUUUUUUGUUUUGUCUCAGCUAACAACUCCAACUACAGCAGCAACACUUAUGUGCUUUUUCUUCAGAGCUAGCCUUUUGUGAAUUUGCUAAUUAGUAAGUUGGUUAAAUGUUGCAUUAUUAGCAGCUUGGUUUGCUCAUCUGGAUUAGCUCUAUUGUGCAGGCAUGUCAAUUCAGUAGCUGCAGCUGCAGCUCGAUCAACAGCUGCAAGUGGACAUAAGAAGAAUGCUCAGGUUUCACUCAGGUGAAUUAAUCUUCAUAUCUAUUUCAUGCUAUAGAUCUAGUGAUUUGACAAUCAUUGCUUGCUUGGUCCAUGUUUUUAGUAAUGCUUUUAACUGCUCGUAAGCUCUAGUAAGCUUUUCAGUCACCUCUUAGUUAGCACUUA